GACGAACGCUGGCGGCGCGCUUAACACAUGCAAGUCGAACGGAAAGGCCUGCUUUCCCUUGUGGUUUGCGGGUACUCGGGUGGCGAACGGGUGAGUAACACGUGAGUGAUCUGCCCCCAACUUGGGUAUAAGCCUGGGAGACUGGGUCUAAUUCCCGAUAGGACUGCAGGGUGGUGCCUGUGGUGGCAAACGAUUUUCUAGUGGUUGGGGAUGAGCUCGCGGCGUAUCAGCUUGUUGGUGGGGCAAAGGCCUACCAAGACGGAGACGGGUAGCCGGCCGGGGAUCGGCGACGGCGACACUGGGACUCGGACACGACCCAGACGCCUGCGAGCGGCAGCAGUGGGGAAGCAUUGAGCGUGAGCGGAAGCCUGAUGCACCGCGUGCGUGAGGAAGAUGACGGCCUUCUGGUUGUAAACUCCUUUCGACCGCGAGGUAGCCACCUGGUUGGAAGGGUGGUGACGGUAGUGGUAGAAGAAGCACCGGCUAACUACGUG
rnacentral:rRNA from 1 species